rnacentral:rRNA from 1 species
CCUACGGGAGGCAGCAGUAGGGAAUAUUGCUCAAUGGGGGAAACCCUGAAGCAGCAACGCCGCGUGGAGGAUGAAGGUUUUCGGAUUGUAAACUCCUUUUGGUAGAGAAGAUGAUGACGGUAUCUAACGAAUAAGCCCCGGCUAACUCCGUGCCAGCAGCCGCGGUAAUACGGAGGGUGCAAGCGUUACUCGGAAUCACUGGGCGUAAAGAGCGCGUAGGCGGGAGAGCAAGUCAGAUGUGAAAUCCUAUGGCUUAACCAUAGCACUGCAUUUGAAACUGUUUUUCUAGAGUAUGGGAGAGGUAGGUGGAAUUCUUGGUGUAGGGGUAAAAUGCGUAGAGAUUAAGAGGAAUACUCAUUGCGAAGGCGACCUGCUAGAACAUAACUGACGCUGAUGCGCGAAAGCGUGGGGAGCAAACAGGAUUAGAUACCCGAGUAGUC